UCGAGCGGACAGAUGGGAGCUUGCUCCCUGAUGUUAGCGGCGGACGGGUGAGUAACACGUGGGUAACCUGCCUGUAAGACUGGGAUAACUCCGGGAAACCGGGGCUAAUACCGGAUGGUUGUUUGAACCGCAUGGUUCAAACAUAAAAGGUGGCUUCGGCUACCACUUACAGAUGGACCCGCGGCGCAUUAGCUAGUUGGUGAGGUAACGGCUCACCAAGGCAACGAUGCGUAGCCGACCUGAGAGGGUGAUCGGCCACACUGGGACUGAGACACGGCCCAGACUCCUACGGGAGGCAGCAGUAGGGAAUCUUCCGCAAUGGACGAAAGUCUGACGGAGCAACGCCGCGUGAGUGAUGAAGGUUUUCGGAUCGUAAAGCUCUGUUGUUAGGGAAGAACAAGUACCGUUCGAAUAGGGCGGUACCUUGACGGUACCUAACCAGAAAGCCACGGCUAACUACGUGCCAGCAGCCGCGGUAAUACGUAGGUGGCAAGCGUUGUCCGGAAUUAUUGGGCGUAAAGGGCUCGCAGGCGGUUUCUUAAGUCUGAUGUGAAAGCCCCCGGCUCAACCGGGGAGGGUCAUUGGAAACUGGGGAACUUGAGUGCAGAAGAGGAGAGUGGAAUUCCACGUGUAGCGGUGAAAUGCGUAGAGAUGUGGAGGAACACCAGUGGCGAAGGCGACUCUCUGGUCUGUAACUGACGCUGAGGAGCGAAAGCGUGGGGAGCGAACAGGAUUAGAUACCCUGGUAGUCCACGCCGUAAACGAUGAGUGCUAAGUGUUAGGGGGUUUCCCGCCCCCUUAGUGCUGCAGCUAACGCAUUAAGCACUCCGCCUGGGGGA
rnacentral:rRNA from 1 species